rnacentral:rRNA from 1 species
GGUUGGGCGAUAGAUUCCAUGCAGUCGAACGGAAGGCCCCUUCGGGGGUACUCGAGUGGCGAACGGGUGAGUAACACGUGGGUGAUCUGCCCUGCACUUUGGGAUAAGCCUGGGAAACUGGGUCUAAUACCGAAUAGGACUCCGGACUGCAUGGUCUGGGGUGGAAAGCUUUUGCGGUGUGGGAUGGGCCCGCGGCCUAUCAGCUUGUUGGUGGGGUGAUGGCCUACCAAGGCGACGACGGGUAGCCGGCCUGAGAGGGUGUCCGGCCACACUGGGACUGAGAUACGGCCCAGACUCCUACGGGAGGCAGCAGUGGGGAAUAUUGCACAAUGGGCGCAAGCCUGAUGCAGCGACGCCGCGUGAGGGAUGACGGCCUUCGGGUUGUAAACCUCUUUCGCCAGGGACGAAGCGCAAGUGACGGUACCUGGAGAAGAAGCACCGGCCAACUACGUGCCAGCAGCCGCGGUAAUACGUAGGGUGCGAGCGUUGUCCGGAAUUACUGGGCGUAAAGAGCUCGUAGGUGGUUUGUCGCGUUGUUCGUGAAAACUCACAGCUUAACUGUGGGCGUGCGGGCGAUACGGGCAGACUGGAGUACUGCAGGGGAGACUGGAAUUCCUGGUGUAGCGGUGGAAUGCGCAGAUAUCAGGAGGAACACCGGUGGCGAAGGCGGGUCUCUGGGCAGUAACUGACGCUGAGGAGCGAAAGCGUGGGGAGCGAACAGGAUUAGAUACCCUGGUAGUCCACGCCGUAAACGGUGGGUACUAGGUGUGGGUUUCCUUCCUUGGGAUCCGUGCCGUAGCUAACGCAUUAAGUACCCCGCCUGGGGAGUACGGCCGCAAGGCUAAAACUCAAAGGAAUUGACGGGGGCCCGCACAAGCGGCGGAGCAUGUGGAUUAAUUCGAUGCAACGCGAAGAACCUUACCUGGGUUUGACAUGCACAGGACGCCGGCAGAGAUGUCGGUUCCCUUGUGGCCUGUGUGCAGUGGGUGCAUGGCUGUCGUCAGCUCGUGUCGUGAGAUGUUGGGGUUAAGUCCCGCACGAGCGCAACCCUUGUCUCAUGUUGCCAGCACGUUAUGGUGGGGACUCGUGAGAGACUGCCGGGUCACUCGGAGGAAGGUGGGGAUGACGUCAAGUCAUCAUGCCCUAUGUCC